GAGAGAGAAGAAGAAGAAGUGAAAACCGAUAAGGAGAAAAGGAGACACCGGCAACGAUUCCGGUCACGGAUGCGGGGGUUGUUCUGGUCGAGAGCCUAGACUUCAAGUAGCAUGAUUUCAUAAACCAUUUUUCACUUCAACUUGUUCACCAAGCCACAGAUUUCUCACCUAGGGUUCGAACAAAUCCCCAAAUUUCGUUUCUCUAGCACUAACAAUUGAAUCGGAAAUGCGACAUUGCUUCAACACGUUAGCGGCUUCGGUAAACCGUUGAGCAUUCUCUGGAAAUCUCUUACCGAUAUCUGAUCGAGUGAAGUUAAUUGAUCGAUGUGUAGAAGUUAUUGCAUUCAUGGUCACUGAUAAAAGUCGCCUUUCUAUUGUUGACUGGUGGGCUAAAGACUUGAUUGUUCUUAGAAUUGAUAUCUUCAAAAGGGUUCUUGUUGCACUAGUUUCAAAGGGAUUUAAACAGUUUGCACUUGCUCCAGUUCAAAUGCUUUAUGCCCAAAAACGUCUUCGAGGUCUGCACUUACGCUAAAGUCAACAAAGUGAAACCGAAUAAGAUUGUGGUGUACCGUGACGGUGUUAGUGACGACCAGUUUGAGAUGGUUCUGAAUAAGAAAUGGUUGAUAUGAAGAAAGCCAUUUACACCGAACACUACCGUCCGUUUGUUACAUUCGUUGUGGCUCAGAAACGUCACACGGCACACUUGUGGCGGUAAGUAACAUUAUUGGCGAAGUAAAAUCGUUGGGUUUCUUGUGGCUGAAAAGCAGAGCUAAGGGGGUGACAUUGUAUUGGAAUAGAUGGAAAAAAUUCAAUAUGUAAUCUGGUUCUUUUUCUGUUGUAUGGUUCCGGCUCCCUAGCUCCUUGCUAGGGGGUUUUCGGUGUUGUGGUUAUUGAAAGUUACCGUUCUAAAAAGAAAAAAAAGGUAGACCAACUAUAUGGCUAUUACCUUUU